rnacentral:lncRNA from 1 species
AUAACUUCAUCGGGAUCAUCCCUCAACUACAAUACAAAUAACCAAUCGUCCCUAGAGCAAGUGGCAAAGGACUUUGUGGUUGGUACCCGAGACUCAAGUUCGAAUCCUAUUUGAUUCACAUUUCCAGCUAAGUUUAUUUCUAAAUGAAAUAAACGAAGUGGGUAGCAUACUACCUAACUCUCAAAAAAAAAAAAAAAAAAAAACUAC